rnacentral:lncRNA from 1 species
UUUUACUUUUAGGAGGCAAGGAGCACAUGGCUUCAUUGAUAAAAGCUAUGAUGAGAAAAUUGCCUGUUUUUGGAGUCUAAACAUGAUGCAGCUGCUUGGAGAAUAAAAGCUAAGGACAGACAACACAGCAGUAUCACCUGAUGUUGCUGAUAGACCUCCAGCCAACUUCUACAAAGACACACUUCGGAUGCAAAUGACUGGGAACAAUAAGGUCAUUGCUGCCUGUGCUGUCCUCCAUAACAGAAGACCUGCAGACCUGCACACUGGGCCAAUGCUGUUGUCACCGUCAUAUACUCUGAAGUCUGAAACAGUUUCCAAUGGGAUAAACCAGGCACAACAAUGUCUUAAUAAAGUGAAUGCCCUUCAUUCAUUUAUUGCUGGUGUACAUACAAAACAAGUUUAGUUUACAGCUGUGCCAAAUAUAGAAACUUCUACACUGACUUUACACUUCCUUAGCACUGAGGAAGAGCAUUUAAAACAAUAUCCCAGAGGAAUAUACAUUUGACCCCAUAUACUGUAGAAUAUAACUUUCCCUUUGUGAGACUAAAAUAAACCCUUAUGGUAUAUACCAAGAUAGGAAU